GAUGAACGCUGGCGGCGUGCCUAACACAUGCAAGUCGAGCGAUUCUCUUCGGAGAAGAGCGGCGGACGGGUGAGUAACGCGUGGGUAACCGGCCUUGUACACACGGAUAACAUACCGAAAGGUAUGCUAAUACGAGAUAAUAUGCUUUUAUCGCAUGGUAGAAGUAUCAAAGCUUUUGCGGUACAGGAUGGACCCGCGUCUGAUUAGCUAGUUGGUAAGGUAACGGCUUACCAAGGCGACGAUCAGUAGCCGACCUGAGAGGGUGAUCGGCCACAUUGGAACUGAGACACGGUCCAAACUCCUACGGGAGGCAGCGGUGGGGAAUAUUGCACAAUGGGCGAAAGCCUGAUGCAGCAACGCCGCGUGAGCGAUGAAGGCCUUCGGGUCGUAAAGCUCUGUCCUCAAGGAAGAUAAUGACGGUACUUGAGGAGGAAGCCCCGGCUAACUACGUGCCAGCCGCCGCAGUAA
rnacentral:rRNA from 1 species